CGGUCACGUUACUAACUUAACUCUUUAAUUAUUUUUAUAAUUAUUUUCCUUCGCUCUCCCAUUUAAAUUCUCUAAUUCCUCGUAUAGGACCACUGACGUGACGUCAUACCUCGGUGAUGGAACAUACUCCACCUAUCGAGAAUUAUUUCGCGUUCGGUGAGUUUGACGUCGUACUCUUGGAAGGAGAGACGAAUGUUCAUCACUUGACCUGUGGCUGUAGGUGAAGUUGGUUGCUACCAUAGAAUAUUAGAAUGGCGGUUGGUUUUUUAUUUUAUAACAUCAGUGAAAAGUGAAAAAGUUACCACAAAUGGUUUUCUACAGUAGGGAGGCAUGUGAGUAGAACAACCCCUCUUGGAAAAAUCACCGCCAUUUUGGAGUAACCACAUGGUGAACUCAUAGCCCUUCGACACCUAGGGAAACCACUACAGCCACA